rnacentral:piRNA from 1 species
UGGGAACUCUGAGUUACGUCCUCACCUAAGC